GACGAACGCUGGCGGCGUGCUUAACACAUGCAAGUCGUACGGUAAGGCCCUUUCGGGGGUCCACGAGUGGCGAACGGGUGAGUAACACGUGAGUAACCUGCCCACAACUUUGGGAUAACGCUAGGAAACUGGUGCUAAUACUGGAUAUGUGCUCCUGCUGCAUGGUGGGGGUUGGAAAGCUCCGGCGGUUGUGGAUGGACUCGCGGCCUAUCAGCUUGUUGGUGGGGUAGUGGCCUACCAAGGCGGCGACGGGUAGCCGGCCUGAGAGGGUGACCGGCCACAUUGGGACUGAGAGACGGCCCAGACUCCUACGGGAGGCAGCAGUGGGGAAUAUUGCACAAUGGGCGCAAGCCGGAUGCAGCAACGCCGCGUGCGGGAUGACGGCCUUCGGGUUGUAAACCGCUUUCAGCAGGGACGAAGCUUUUUGUGACGGUACCUGCAGAAGAAGCACCGGCUAACUACGUG
rnacentral:rRNA from 1 species